UUUCCGUAGGUGAACCUGCGGAAGGAUCAUUACCUAGUGAACGCCCGUCCAGGACGCAGGCUCUCGGGCUUGCUACUGCGGGUGUAUCCACAACCCACAUACAUGUGCACCAUAGGGACGGCGGGUGGAUAACGCACGCCGUCUCGCUUUACAAGCUCUGAAGUUUACUUUGAAUGUCGUUUGAUUCGGGCUAGCCCCGAUGUAUUAAACAUAACAACUUUCAACAACGGAUCUCUUGGCUCUCGCAUCGAUGAAGAACGCAGC
rnacentral:misc_RNA from 1 species